AGAAUCAUUCACAAUGGGGGAAACCCUGAUGGUGCGACGCCGCGUGGGGGAAUGAAGGUCUUCGGAUUGUAAACCCCUGUCAUGUGGGAGCAAAUUAAAAAGAUAGUACCACAAGAGGAAGAGACGGCUAACUCUGUGCCAGCAGCCGCGGUAAUACAGAGGUCUCAAGCGUUGUUCGGAAUCACUGGGCGUAAAGCGUGCGUAGGCUGUUUCGUAAGUCGUGUGUGAAAGGCGCGGGCUCAACCCGCGGACUGCACAUGAUACUGCGAGACUAGAGUAAUGGAGGGGGAACCGGAAUUCUCGGUGUAGCAGUGAAAUGCGUAGAUAUCGAGAGGAACACUCGUGGCGAAGGCGGGUUCCUGGACAUUAACUGACGCUGAGGCACGAAGGCCAGGGGAGCGAAAGGGA
rnacentral:misc_RNA from 1 species